ACAAGGUUCCCCGGUUUAGGACAGUUCACUCGCCUGACAGUCUGGAUUGGGUUAAUAUUCCAUGUUGAGGUUUGGAUUCGUCAAAGAAGAGAGAGUAAAGAAAAGUCUUGCAAAUCCUCUAAAGGUGUGAUUCUGAAGUUGAUCUGGACAAGGAAUCCCCCUGUACUUCCUGGAAACGGUGGUCUAGACUGUGCUCUAACCCAGGUGGAUCUUUUUCAGAGACUUCACCUGCCGACUUCUGGGAGCUCCCCAUCCGGCAAGCAUCCCCACAGCUGCGGAGCUGCGGUCUCAGACGUCAGCGGAAGCCGACCCACGGGAGCGUGAGGAGGGCCAGAUGAAUAGAUGCUGGCAGCAGCAGCAGCAGCAGUAGGGGACGGCAGGCUGAAUUCCAAACCUCCAGUUGGCUCGGCUUCUCCCAGACUAUUGGAGGAAUGAAGGCUGCAGUGAGAGAAGACCUUCGCUCCGGAUCAUGCGGCAAGAGAUGGACCAAGAAACCGGCAGUGCCCCCUCCAGCCGAGGGUCCAGGAGAUGAGGAAAAGCACCAGAGCAGCAAGGAGGAGGCCUGACUGUACCGACCACUGCGGCACCCACCAAAGCCAAACCUGAACCAAGCCGGCCAGGAAGAUCAGGGCGGCCGCCGUGACCAACAGAAUGGAAUCCCCAAGACAGGCCGGAAUCCACUGGGUCACUUUUCAUCCCCUGGUGUAAACAUGGAGUUGCCUUGUAGAUCCCUCCUGGAGGGAUUCUGUUCCGAGAGCUGCACCAGCGAGGGAGAAGUGAUCGGGGGUCAAGCCGACAAGUGGAGACCGGGACGCCCUUAGAGAAGAUGGGAGUUGACCUGUCCAUCAGGAAAAAAUAAGUAUCUAAUCGUAGACUAACCAAAAAAACACUUGGAAAUGGUCAUUUACUGCUCGUGUCAGAUGAUUCGAACUGUGAUAGGUCUCCAUUUCUCUCCUCUCUCUCUCUCCCUCUCUCCCUCUCUCCCUCUUUCUCUCUCUCUCUCUAAUUUUUCUAUUCACGAUGAAAAAGAUAUUUGGAUUUUUCCUCACAGAAUAUUUUCCCAAACCAUUUUCAGGCGAAAGAACUCCGGUUAGGAUGUUGCUUUUCCUCCUUUACAUACAGUCCGGGGAGAGAGACGGCAGGGUCGGGGAGCCAUUCGUUAGGAACAAAUAAUAAGGAAAAUGAAAAAGAAAUUAAAUACCUAGUACUAUGAGGCUAUUUGAAAGGAGAUGAAAAAGCUGACCCUUAUAGUAAGUUUCGAAGGGAAAUUUACCACAGGUCUCCUUAAAAAGAAUGAAUAAAAAGUCUUCAGACAAGGUUCCCCGGUGUAGGACAGUUCACUCGCCUGACUGUCGGGAUUGGGUUAAUAUUCCAUGUUGAGGUUUGGAUUCGUCAAAGAAGAGAGAGCAAAGAAAAUUCUUGCAAAUCCUCUAAAGGUGUGAUUCUGAAGGUGAUCUGGACAAGGAAUCCCCCUGUACUUCCUGGAAACGGUGGUCUAGACUGUGCUCUAACCCAGGUGGAUCUUUUUCAGAGACUUCACCUGCCGACUUCUGGGAGCGCCCCAUCCAGCAAGCAUCCGCACAGCUGCGGAGCUGCGGUCUCAGAUGUCAGCGGAAGCCUACGCACG